rnacentral:rRNA from 1 species
AGAUUAAACUGAAGAGUUUGAUCCUGGCUCAGAUUGAACGCUGGCGGCAUGCCUUACACAUGCAAGUCGAACGGCAGCGCGGGGCAACCUGGCGGCGAGU